CUCUCUCUCUCUUUCCGACUACAGCCACCACCACUACCGCUUCCUCCGCGGCUGCAAAUAGAUUCAGAAACAUCACCUCCGCCACUGCAAAUAGAUUCGUGAAUCAAUGGAUAACCCAAGAACUGAAAUUUAUCUGUGAUUCAGAUUCAUAUUCCAGAUUCGAUAUCAGAUUCCUUUCUGUGAAUCAAUCGAAUUAGGUUAUCACCAUCACCUCCACCUCAAAUUACCACCGUUUCUCCGCCGUAUUUCAUUGUAUAAAUUAAUUUUUAUUUAAUCGUUCUUAGUGUCAGAAAUUUAUUCUUCUUUUCCAACAUGUGUUUCUGGUAAUGAUUUUGUUGAUCGAUUGAGAAACAAUUGAUCCUGGUGGUGUUGAUGGUGGAGGAGGCGGUGGUAGUGAAGUGAAAUGAAAAUUUUGGAUCUAACUUUCAAUUCGAUAUUUCUUAAAAAACCUAAAAGAUUGAUAGGAUUCAACAUCAACAAUAUUAAUUUAUCUAUAGAGUUCGUCUCGUCUUCAUACGUCUCACUUAUUAUUCCUGAAUGUUAAGAUUUGAUCUUCUUUAUAAGGUUACAGUAGCAACAUUUACCUAGUGAAAAUCUUAUUGAAUUAGGUGAAGUAAUGAUUAAAGUUUUGAUUAUUACUGUCAUGUAUGAUCCGUGUGUGUUAUAUUUAUCUCUGGGGUUCAUUGAAUUUCAGUAAGACCCAUUUUUGUUCAACUUUUUUUGACCACUCAGGUUAACAUAAAAUUUUGAAAGGUAGAGUUGUACGUAAUGGUUUACUUGUUUGUGAUUCCAGGAAGUCCAUUAUAAUCAGCAGGGAUUGUUGCUUUUAGAAGGUAUUGGAAUCUAUCGGUUGGGAGAAAAUUGGUAUCAAGUUCAAUCGGGUGAUGCAAUUUGGAUGGCACCAUUUGUACCACAGUGGGGCGGCAACUGACCAUGGUGGAACAUCCUUAACUUUGAUUUGUUUUACCGCCUUUUUCGAUAAAAGGAAGCUACACCAUGAGUUACGGCAAGGCAAGGAAGACAAGUAAGGUUGUUGACACCACUGGCGGUAGCGGCGGCGGACUGGUGGUGGUGGUGGCGGCGGCAGCGGCGGACUGGUGGUGGUGAUUGAUAUGUGGUGGUGGUGAUGGUGGUGGUGGUGGUGAUUGAUAUGUGG